AAUGCUUCUUUUUGAUUGGUAGAUCGUACCGGUACGAAAUGGCAUACUUGACUUCCGCCAUUUUGCCAACGCCUGGCUGUGAGAUAGGCGUUCAAAGAAAUACAGUGAACAUCCACUUAAAUUCCGGCAAUCUGCCGGUUUUUCUGAAAGACGUAGGAUAAAGCCGCAAAGAUGUAUCUCUACAAUCUGACUUUGCAAGGCUCAUCUUCAAUUACACAUGCCGUUCACGGUAAUUUCUCCGGGACGAAGCAGCAGGAGAUAGUGAUUUCACGUGGGAAGACGUUGGAACUGCUUAGGCCCGACCCCAACACCGGGAAAGUGCAUACGCUGAUGAAAGUGGAGAUUUUCGGCGUUAUCAGAUCAAUGAUGUCAUUUCGGCUCACCGGAGGCACUAAAGAUUAUAUUGUGAUAGGAUCGGAUUCUGGCCGCAUUGUGAUAUUAGAGUAUAUUCCAAAGAAGAACAUUCUGGAAAAAGUUCAUCAAGAAACAUUUGGCAAAUCUGGAUGCCGCAGGAUUGUGCCCGGCCAGUACUUGGCUAUAGAUCCCAAAGGCAGAGCUGUUAUGAUUGGUGCAAUUGAAAAGCAGAAGCUUGUGUACAUAUUGAACAGAGAUGCUGAAGCCAGGCUCACAAUUUCUUCUCCCCUGGAAGCUCACAAGUCCAACACAUUGGUUUACCACAUGGUUGGUGUAGACGUUGGCUUUGAAAACCCAAUGUUUGCUUGUCUGGAGAUUGACUAUGAAGAGGCAGAUGCAGAUCCUUCAGGUGAAGCAGCACAAAAGACACAACAGACACUCACAUUCUAUGAGUUAGAUUUAGGUUUGAACCAUGUUGUCAGAAAGUACUCUGAACCUCUUGAGGAACAUGCAAACUUCCUCAUCACAGUGCCAGGAGGUAAUGAUGGUCCCUCAGGAGUACUCAUUUGCUCGGAAAACUAUCUCACAUAUAAAAACUUGGGUGACCAACAUGAUAUCCGAUGUCCCAUCCCUCGACGGCGAAAUGACUUGGAUGAUCCUGAGAGAGGGAUGAUAUUUGUCUGUUCAGCUACCCACAAGACCAAGUCAAUGUUCUUCUUCUUAGCACAGACUGAACAGGGAGAUAUAUUCAAAAUUACUAUUGAGACUGAUGAAGACAUGGUCACUGAGAUUAAGUUGAAGUACUUUGACACUGUACCUGUGGCUACUGCAAUGUGUGUGCUCAAGACUGGCUUCCUAUUUGUGGCCUGUGAAUUUGGCAACCACUACCUGUACCAAAUUGCUCACUUGGGUGAUGAAGAUGAUGAACCAGAAUUCAGUUCAGCCAUGCCUUUGGAGGAAGGAGACACAUUUUUCUUUGCUCCAAGGCCACUAAGGAAUCUGGUGCUUGUAGAUGAACUGGACUCGCUGUCGCCCAUUCUUGCUUGUCGUGUGGCCGAUUUGGCUGCUGAAGACACUCCUCAAGUGUAUCUGGCUUGUGGCAGAGGACCAAGAUCAUCACUGAGAGCUCUCAGACAUGGUUUAGAGGUUGCUGAGAUGGCUGUGUCUGAGUUGCCUGGUUCUCCCAAUGCUGUAUGGACCGUCAGGCGACACAAGGAUGAAUCUUCUUUCGGCUGAUGAACGAAUAAGAGAUGGUUUCAACAAACACUCGAAGAGGAGUAUGAUUCUUACAUCAUUGUGUCGUUCGUAAAUGCCACGCUUGUACUAUCUAUCGGUGAAACGGUAGAAGAAGUGACGGACUCUGGGUUCCUGGGCACCACGCCCACCCUCAGCUGUCACGCGCUCGGCGCCGACGCCCUCGUUCAAGUGUACCCAGACGGCAUCCGGCACAUCCGCGCCGAUAAGCGUGUCAAUGAAUGGAAGGCUCCUGGGAAGAAAUCCAUUGUCAAAUGCGCAGUUAAUCAGAGACAAGUAGUUAUUGCUCUGACAGGAGGAGAAUUAGUCUAUUUUGAAAUGGACCCUACUGGUCAACUAAAUGAAUACACUGAGAGGAAGAAGUUGUCGUCAGAUGUGUCAUGCAUGGCGUUGGGAUCAGUAGCGACUGGUGAACAAAGAGCCUGGUUCUUAGCUGUUGGCCUGAAUGACAACACUGUCAGGAUCAUCUCAUUAGACCCAUC
rnacentral:misc_RNA from 1 species